AGAGGCUUCGGCAAUGGGGGAAACCCUGACCGAGCGACGCCGCGUGAAGGAUGAAGGCCCUUGGGUUGUAAACUUCUUUUGUUGGGGAAGAAAUGCGAUCAGGUGAACAAUCUGGUCGUUUGACGGUACCCGACGAAUAAGCCCCGGCCAACUCCGUGCCAGCAGCCGCGGUAACACGGGGAGAGCAAGCGUUGUUCGGAAUCACGGGGCGUAAAGGGCGUGUAGGCGGCCCGAUUAGUGGGAUGUGAAAUGCCCCGGCUCACCCGGGGACCUGCAUCCCAAACUGUCGGGCUUGAGUAUGGGAGAGGAUGAGGGAAUUCCUGGUGUAGCGGUGAAAUGCGUAGAUAUCAGGAGGAACACCGGUGGCGAAGGCGCUCAUCUGGCCCAAUACUGACGCUGAGGCGCGAAAGCUGGGGAAGCAAAC
rnacentral:rRNA from 1 species